UACGGGGGGGGCAAGCGUUGUUCGGAAUUACUGGGCGUAAAGGGUUCGUAGGUGGCUUGUUAAGUCAGACGUGAAAUCCCUCGGCUCAACCGGGGAACUGCGUCUGAGACUGAUGAGCUCGAGUGCAGGAGAGGAACGCGGAAUUCCGGGUGUAGCGGUGAAAUGCGUAGAUAUCCGGAGGAACACCGGUGGCGAAGGCGGCUUCCUGGACCGACACUGACGCUGAGGCGCGAAAGCUAGGGGAGCAAACGGG
rnacentral:rRNA from 1 species